rnacentral:rRNA from 1 species
GAUGAACGCUGGCGGCGUGCCUAAUACAUGCAAGUCGAGCGAACAGACGAGGAGCUUGCUCCUCUGACGUUAGCGGCGGACGGGUGAGUAACACGUGGAUAACCUACCUAUAAGACUAGGAUAACUUCGGGAAACCGGAGCUAAUACCGGAUAAUAUAUUGAACCGCAUGGUUCAAUAGCGAAAGACGGUUUUGCUGUCACUUAUAGAUGGAUCCGCGCCGCAUUAGCUAGUUGGUAAGGUAACGGCUUACCAAGGCAACGAUGCGUAGCCGACCUGAGAGGGUGAUCGGCCACACUGGAACUGAGACACGGUCCAGACUCCUACGGGAGGCAGCAGUAGGGAAUCUUCCGCAAUGGGCGAAAGCUUGACGGAGCAACGCCGCGUGAGUGAUGAAGGUCUUCGGAUCGUAAAACUCUGUUAUUAGGGAAGAACAAAUGUGUAAGUAACUAUGCACGUCUUGACGGUACCUAAUCAGAAAGCCACGGCUAACUACGUG